rnacentral:piRNA from 1 species
UGGGAGAAGAGUCAAGAUUCGACAUCUACCU